AUUCCCGGCAAUUUUGUUGACAGUUUUACAUCCUAAAAUUUUAGCUAAUUUUGAAAAAACGUGUGUGUCAUUCGUAUCUGCAGUUUAAUUCCUCUAAAAAUCUUAUAGAUGUAGUAUAGACUUCCAACAAAGAAACAGAUCUCUUCCAACAUAUAAACAAUACAAAUUGUGUUUCUAUCUUCUAAGAGCAGUUGUGUAUAUACUCUUAAAUUUAUGUAAUUUCUUAAGAAAUUGAAAAUAUGAUGUAGAGAUUUCAAGGAAAUAGAGAAAUACCGAAAAUAAUGAAAAUAAGGAAAUUGGGAAAGCUGCCGGAGACAGCGAGAAAUUGAGAGAAUCAACCGAAAACAAGAAAGGUAAGGAAAUUGGGAAAUAUGUUGAAAACGAGAAAUUGGAGAAAUAGAGAAAAACAAACUUUUGCCAAACAAAAAAAACUGUGAUGAAUUACAAUUACCUGCUCCAGAAAGCUCACGCUCGGCUCACGCAAAUAGUUCUCUCAUUAUUAUAGAAGUAGAAACAAAGAGAAUACAAAAAAUCAUAGAAGAGGAAAACAAUUUGAUGAACAAUCGAUUAUAGAGAUCACAUUCGAAAGAAAACUUUUGUCUCUCUCUUCUACCUAAAACUUAAAACUUUUAUCUCUCUUCUACCUUCUUCUUAAUCUCUGAAACUCUUACUCGCUGCCGCCAAGAGCAAACAGAAGUUCAAUUUCCACUUCUCCUGACUUGCAGCACGAGAUAUUGGGAAAACAAAUGUGGAUCCAAGUCCCCAAUAUGUCCCC
rnacentral:lncRNA from 1 species